rnacentral:rRNA from 1 species
CGAAUGCUGACAUAAGUAACGAUAAAGCGGGUGAAAAGCCCGCUCGCCGGAAGACCAAGGGUUCCUGUCCAACGUUAAUCGGGGCAGGGUGAGUCGACCCCUAAGGCGAGGCCGAAAGGCGUAGUCGAUGGGAAACAGGUUAAUAUUCCUGUACUUGGUGUUACUGCGAAGGGGGGACGGAGAAGGCUAUGUUGGCCGGGCGACGGUUGUCCCGGUUUAAGCGUGUAGGCUGGUUUUCCAGGCAAAUCCGGAAAAUCAAGGCUGAGGCGUGAUGACGAGGCACUACGGUGCUGAAGCAACAAAUGCCCUGCUUCCAGGAAAAGCCUCUAAGCAUCAGGUAACAUCAAAUCGUACCCCAAACCGACACAGGUGGUCAGGUAGAGAAUACCAAGGCGCUUGAGAGAACUCGGGUGAAGGAACU